rnacentral:lncRNA from 1 species
GCAGUCCCCACUGAAGGCACUCCACACGUCCGGUGACAGGCUGGUCAGGAGACUUUCCUGACACCAGGAUCACCCACACAGAUUGUGGUUUGCAAAACCGUCGGCUCUACAAACCCUUCCCGCCUUUGGAUCCGAUUGCCUGGUGUUCAUCCCGAGAACGCUGUGUGGUACACCCCAGCAGGCCGAUCCCCCAAUCUCUCCCCCUGCGGAUGCAACCCAGGACAAUCCUCAAGGACCAGCUCCGUUAUACAGAUGUGUAGACGGAGAAGUCAACCGGUGUAUUCCGCUUCGGGCAAGUUGACAAACCGGUGAGUUCUUUUUUUUUUUUUUUCUAUUGGGUUCCUGACUUGGCUGGUCGGCUCUUGGUAUCAUUUGGUGCUUUUCUCUCAAAGGAGAAAGCCCAUAGGAAAGGGGAAAGGAGGUGGAGACUGUUCUCAUGAGUUGGAAUCUGGUUUUACUCUUUUGGUUCUUUGAUUCUCACGAGCCAAUCAGUUACUUCACUCAAGGAUAUGGAAAGCACAUUAACGAUAUUUAAGUGGGAAUCGAUGUCCACAAACCAACCCUGAGAAGUUUUGUCAUGACUUUGGUGAUAUUGUGAUGUUAUUAAGAAAUGGUUUUUGUCAUUUCUAGCACAGUGCCUAAAACCCUCUUAAUUUCCAGGGUGGUGGGAGGGGUAAAGGUGUCUUUUGUUAGGUUGAUGCGUGACUUUUGGAAAGCCCCGAGGUGACCCUGAUUGGAGGGUUAGAACUUUCCAGUGAAAAGAACGUGGUUGGGGAUUGGUUCCAUCGUCAAGGGCCGAUUUAAGCAA